GGCGAUAUGGCCGAGCGGUCUAAGGCGCUAGAAUCAGGCGGUAGUCUAAUCUAGUCCGAAAGGGCGUGGGUUCGAAUCCCACUGUCGUCA